CUUGACCUACGGGAGGCAGCAGUGAGGAAUAUUGGUCAAUGGGCGAGAGCCUGAACCAGCCACGUCGCGUGAGGGAGUACUGCCCUAUGGGUUGUAAACCUCUUUUGUCGGGGAGCAAAAGCCGGACGUGUCCGGCUGUGAGAGUACCCGAAGAAAAAGCAUCGGCUAACUCCGUGCCAGCAGCCGCGGUAAUACGGAGGUGGCAAGCGUUGUCCGGAUUUAUUGGGCGUAAAGCGAGUGCAGGCGGGUCAAUAAGGCU
rnacentral:rRNA from 1 species